rnacentral:rRNA from 1 species
GACGGAGGGUGCAAGCGUUGUUCGGAUUGACUGGGCGUAAAGGGCGUGUAGGCGGUCGGCCAAGUCUGAUGUGAAAGUCCGAGGCUCAGCCUCGGAAGUGCGUCGGAAACUAGUCGGCUGGAGCGCGAUAGAGGAGGGUGGAAUUCCUGGUGUAGCGGUGAAAUGCGUAGAUAUCAGGAGGAACACCGGCGGCGAAGGCGGCCCUCUGGAUCGUUGCUGACGCUGAGACGCGAAAGCGUGGGGAGCAAACAGG